rnacentral:rRNA from 1 species
AAACCAACAGGGAUUGCCUUAGUAACGGCGAGUGAAGCGGCAAAAGCUCAAAUUUGAAAUCUAGCACUUUCAGUGUUCGAGUUGUAAUUUGAAGAAGGUAUCUUUGGAGUUGGCCCCCGUCUAUGUUCCUUGGAACAGGACGUCACAGAGGGUGAGAAUCCCGUGCGAUGGGGAGAUCAAUUCUAUGUAAAGUUCCUUCGAAGAGUCGAGUUGUUUGGGAAUGCAGCUCUAAGUGGGUGGUAAAUUCCAUCUAAAGCUAAAUAUUGGCGAGAGACCGAUAGCGAACAAGUACAGUGAUGGAAAGAUGAAAAGAACUUUGAAAAGAGAGUGAAAAAGUACGUGAAAUUGUUGAAAGGGAAGGGCUUUUGAUCAGACUUGGUGUUUAGUACUCUCUACUCCUUGUGGGUGGGGCUCUUGCUUUAUACUGGGCCAGCAUCGGUUUGGAUGGUAGGAUAAUGACUUUGGAAUGUGGCUUCAUUCGUGGAGUGUUAUAGCCUUUGUUGAUACUGCCUAUCUAGACCGAGGACUGCGUCUUUUGACUAGGAUGCUGGCGUAAUGAUUAAAAGCCGC